UCUCCGUAGGUGAACCUGCGGAGGGAUCAUUACAGAGUUCUCGCCCUCGCGGGUAGAUCUCCCACCCACUGUUAUCGUUACUGUGUUGCUUUGGCGGGCCGCCGGGCCCCGCUCGGCCGCCGGCUCCGGCUGGCGCGCGCCCGCCAGAGGCCCAGCAAACUCUGAAUGUUAGUGUCGUCUGAGUACUAUAUAAUAGUUAAAACUUUCAACAACGGAUCUCUUGGCUCUG
rnacentral:misc_RNA from 1 species